rnacentral:rRNA from 1 species
ACGGAGGGUGCAAGCGUUGUUCGGAAUUAUUGGGCGUAAAGCGCGCGUAGGCGGGACGUUAAGUCCGAUGUGAAAUCCCUCGGCUCAACCGAGGACGUGCAUUGGAUACUGGCGUUCUUGAGUCCUGGAGAGGGUGGCGGAAUUCCCAGUGUAGAGGUGAAAUUCGUAGAUAUUGGGAGGAACACCGGCGGCGAAGGCGGCCACCUGGACAGUGACUGACGCUGAGGCGCGAAAGCAUGGGUAGCAAACAGG